rnacentral:rRNA from 1 species
UACAGAGGUCCCAAGCGUUGUUCGGAAUUACUGGGCGUAAAGGGCGCGUAGGCGGCCUGGCAAGUGGAAGGUGAAAUCCCUCGGCUUAACCGAGGAACUGCCUCCCAAACUGCUUGGCUUGAGACCGGGAGAGGUGAGUGGAAUUCCCAGUGUAGCGGUGAGAUGCGUAGAUAUUGGGAGGGACACCAGUGGCGAAGGCGGCUCACUGGACCGGUACUGACGCUGAUGCGCGAAAGCGUGGGGAGCAAACGGG